CAUCCCAACACGACAACAGGGUGAGGAGAGGCUCACCAUCCAGCCAGGUCUUGGGUGCUCUGCACCCAUCCUGAGCACGGGCUGAGCUCACUGGCUGGCCAGCCCUGUGCUCCACUUCCUGCCUUUGCUUAUGAUCAUCAGAGUGAUUCCUUUACAGGCAACUGUGCAAAGCAGGAAAAUCUACGUGAAAUGCUUCCUACUGGAGUAACCAUCUGGCCAAUAUUCAUCUUGUUUAGUGAAAUACCAAGAUAUCCAUAGAACGCAGGUGUUAAUGCAGAUCAUAAGGCACAAGUGACCGCAGUAAUAAACCAACAUGCAAUGAAAUGCAAUUAACGCACCUGGUGCUUGGGUUUGACAAGAGUUUCAGUGCCUUUUUAUUUUCCCUGCACACUCAUGUGCAUUUUAAUAGUUGGAACUUCAAUCAUCACUUCUCAACCAACCCUUUAAUCGUAUAAAUUCCUUUAAAAAGUGAACUGCAAUGUUUGCUAGUAAACAGUAUUUCAUAAUUUAGCCAGGAGGAGGGAAAAAAGUGGAAGCACACACGAAACUAUAUGCUGCUUAGUAGCGUUCUGUGCCAUGAAAAAGACUAUUGUCCUGUUUCUGUCGGUCUGGUUCUGCUGCUGGCAAAGGUUUGCUUUCAGUCGUGUAAUCCUUGUUGAUACAUUCCUAGUGCUUUUGAACCAGCUGGAACAGGUGAAAAGAUCCCAGCGAAGAAAAUAAAUGAUUAAGCUUUCUA